GAACUCUGGAGAAUCCCAUAUAACGGGUACCGAAGGUGCAAGGCCUGCUCAGCCGACGCAGAGCAAGCUGAAUCUCUCAGGUAAAAGGACAGAGCGAGA
rnacentral:ncRNA from 1 species